UACGUAGGCAGCGAGCGUUGUUCGGAGUUACUGGGCGUAAAGAGUGCGUAGGUGGUUCUCCAAGUCUGGUGUGAAAUCUCCCGGCUUAACUGGGAGGGUGCGCCGGAAACUGGAGGGCUAGAGUGUGGGAGAGGAGAGCGGAAUUCCUGGUGUAGCGGUGAAAUGCGUAGAUAUCAGGAGGAACACCUGCGGUGCAGACGGCUCUCUGGACCAUUCCUGACACUGAGGCACGAAAGCGUGGGGAGCAAAC
rnacentral:rRNA from 1 species